rnacentral:rRNA from 1 species
CGGACCGGCGCACGGGUGAGUAACGCGUAUGCAACUUGCCUAUCAGGAGGGGAUAACCCGGCGAAAGUCGGACUAAUACCGCAUGAAGCAGGGGCCCCGCAUGGGGAUAUUUGCUAAAGAUUCAUCGCUGAUAGAUAGGCAUGCGUUCCAUUAGGCAGUUGGCGGGGUAACGGCCCACCAAACCGACGAUGGAUAGGGGUUCUGAGAGGAAGGUCCCCCACAUUGGUACUGAGACACGGACCAA